ensembl:lncRNA
GAGAGCUGUGGGUUGGCAGACCACUACAUUGCUGCCUGCUAUAUGAUGAGAGAUAUGAGAGAGCUGGGGGUUGGCAGACCACUACAUUGCUGCCUGCUAUAUGAUGAGGGAGAUGAGAGAGAUGUGGGUUGGCAGACCACUACAUUGCUGCCUGCUAUAUGAUGAGAGAGAUGUGGGUUGGCAGACCACUACAUUGCUGCCUGCUAUAUGAUGAGAGAGAUGAGAGAGAUGUGGGUUGGCAGACCACUACAUUGCUGCCUGCUAUAUGAUGAGAGAGAUGAGAGAGAUGUGGGUUGGCAGACCACUACAUUGCUGCCUGCUAUAUGAUGAGAGAGAUGAGAGAGCUGUGGGUUGGCAGACCACUACAUUGCUGCCUGCUAUAUGAUGAGAGAGCUGUGGGUUGGCAGACCACUACAUUGCUGCCUGCUAUAUGAUGAGAGAGAUGUGGGUUGGCA